rnacentral:rRNA from 1 species
GACAGAGGAUGCAAGCGUUAUCCGGAAUGAUUGGGCGUAAAGCGUCUGUAGGUAGCUUUUCAAGUCCGCCGUCAAAUCCCAGGGCUCAACCCUGGACAGGCGGUGGAAACUACCAAGCUGGAGUACGGUAGGGGGCAGAGGGAAUUUCCGGUGGAGCGGUGAAAUGCGUAGAGAUCGGAAGGAACGCCCGUGGCGAAAGCGAGGUCCUGGACGCCUACUGACGCUGAGACGCGAAAGCCAGGGGAGCGAACGGG